rnacentral:rRNA from 1 species
UACGGGGGGGGGCAAGCGUUGUUCGGAAUUACUGGGCGUAAAGGGCUCGUAGGCGGCCAACUAAGUCGGAUGUGAAAUCCCCAGGCUUAACCUGGGAACUGCAUCCGAUACUGGAUGGCUUGAAUCCGGGAGAGGGAUGCAGAAUUCCAGGUGUAGCGGUGAAAUGCGUAGAUAUCUGGAGGAAUACCGAUGGCGAAGGCAGGUCUCUGGGCAUUAACUGACGCUGAGGAGCGAAAGCAUGGGGAGCGAACAGG